UUCAUUGACUCAUCGUCGAUGAGAUCUCAGAGGACGGGUUCGUCUUCCCGUAGCUCGUGCUCUCGUCGACCGAACAAGCAGGAGUUGAAGAUUAUGAGGAUGUGUGAGGAGAUGAGACAGCAACGAGAAUUUAUGGAGGCUUGCAAUGCACAUAACCAAGCGAUGUAUCAAUUAAUGCAGCAACAGGGCAUGAUACCAAAUAUUCCACCGCCACCACAAUCGAGCCAGUUUGCAUCCACACCAGCUCCGGGAUUGGGGACUCAACAGUUCAACACCCCUCCGACACAUAUAC